UACGGGGGGGGCAAGCGUUGUUCGGAAUUCCUGGGCGUAAAGGGUUCGUAGGUGGCUCGCUAAGUCAGACGUGAAAUCCCUCAGCUUAACUGGGGAACUGCGUCUGAGACUGGCAAGCUUGAGUGCAGGAGAGGAACGCGGAAUUCCAGGUGUAGCGGUGAAAUGCGUAGAUAUCUGGAGGAACACCGGUGGCGAAGGCGGCGUUCUGGACUGCAACUGACACUGAUGAACGAAAGCCAGGGGAGCAAACGGG
rnacentral:rRNA from 1 species